rnacentral:lncRNA from 1 species
ACUUCAAAAAGCUCGUGAGCCCCCCCAUGCAGGCAGAGCCUCUACCAAUUCUGUGUGAUGGGAGGAUGGAAGCUCUUGGGGAUCCACUUGUCCCAGCUGGGUCAUUACCCUGUCUAGCUCAGGGCAGGGCAAUGACCCAGCUGGGACAAGGGGGUGCCAGGGAACAGAUGGAGAACCAAGGGGCAGUUGGCGCUUUGGUUCCUCUUGGCUCUGACUCUCAGGACCAACACCAAGGAGACAGUCUGCUGCAAGACGCCUUCCCAGGCAGCAAAGCCUCAGGAAAGAAAGCAACCAAGAAAUGCCACUGCCAGACACCAUUUUCCUGUACAAAACUUUAUUUGACACAGUCCUGCUGCUGCAAUGUCUUGCAUGGAUGUGCUCCAGAGGAGGGAACAAAGAGCCCCCACAGGCUGCUCAUGCUCAGCACCAGGCACAGAGCAAAGAUCAACCCCAACCUAGGAGGCAAAGGUGGUCUGCAAUUGCUGUCAGCACACGGUGACCACAUCCCUUGCCCUGGGGUCUGCAAGCAGAGGGGAGAGGAGCGUGGAGAGCUGCUGCAGCCCCUGUGCUGCCCGCUGGGGCUCAGAGGCAGGGUGAGACCCGUGGGUGCCAGCAGGGCUGGUGCCCCAGCACACGAGCCAUGUGCAGGACAGAGCCCAGGGGCUGCAAGGGGCCUGGCCCCUGCUUGCAGCAUCCCAGUCCUCAUCCAGCAGCAGGGAGCAACACGGGGCUGCCCCUGUCCCCAGUGCCCCUCAUUCCUGUGCUGCUCCUGCAGAACCAAGGAGAGGUGAUGCAGGAGUGUCUGGAGAAGGGCAGGAGCUCCCCAGGGCUGGGGACAGGGUCUUGGGGGUGCUGUCCCUCAGGCACAGCUGAAUUCUCUCUGUCCCCAAAAAGAACCAGGGGUGGAUUCUCUCCCCAUUGAAAGAGGCUUCUGUGAAAGUGAAGAUCUCAACCCCAUUGUCAGCAUUGACAAAAGACACCUGCUGCUGGGUACAGUCCAGACAUACCCAGAUCCUCGUGGGUACAGGGGACAGGGACAAGGGAGUGGGA